rnacentral:misc_RNA from 1 species
UACGUAGGGGGCAAGCGUUGUCCGGAAUCAUUGGGCGUAAAGCGCGUGUAGGCGGUUCAGUAAGUCCGCUCUGAAAGUCCGGGGCUCAACCCCGGGAGGCGGGUGGAUACUGCUGGGCUAGAGUACGGAAGAGGCGAGUGGAAUUCCCGGUGUAGCGGUGAAAUGCGCAGAUAUCGGGAGGAACACCAAUUGCGAAGGCAGCUCGCUGGGACGUCACUGACGCUAAGACGCGAAAGCGUGGGGAGCAAACAGG